AGAUUGAACGCUGGCGGCAUGCCUUACACAUGCAAGUCGAACGGCAGCACGGGGGCAACCCUGGUGGCGAGUGGCGAACGGGUGAGUAACAUAUCGGAACGUGCCCUGGAGUGGGGGAUAACUAGUCGAAAGACUAGCUAAUACCGCAUACGAUCUACGGAUAAAAGUGGGGGAUCGCAAGACCUCAUGCUCGUGGAGCGGCCGAUAUCUGAUUAGCUAGUUGGUGGGUAAAGGCCUACCAAGGCAUCGAUCAGUAGCUGGUCUGAGAGGACGACCAGCCACACUGGGACUGAGACACGGCCCAGACUCCUACGGGAGGCAGCAGUGGGAAUUUUGGACAAUGGGCGCAAGCCUGAUCCAGCAAUGCCGCGUGAGUGAAGAGGCCUUCGGUUGUAAGCUCUUUGUCAGGAAGAACGGUAGA
rnacentral:rRNA from 1 species